GCUUGCUGGGUGGAUUAGUGGCGAACGGGUGAGUAACACGUGAGUAACCUGCCCCUGACUCUGGGAUAAGCGUUGGAAACGACGUCUAAUACUGGAUAUGACUGCCGGCCGCAUGGUCUGGUGGUGGAAAGAUUUUUUGGUUGGGGAUGGACUCGCGGCCUAUCAGCUUGUUGGUGAGGUAAUGGCUCACCAAGGCGACGACGGGUAGCCGGCCUGAGAGGGUGACCGGCCACACUGGGACUGAGACACGGCCCAGACUCCUACGGGAGGCAGCAGUGGGGAAUAUUGCACAAUGGGCGAAAGCCUGAUGCAGCAACGCCGCGUGAGGGAUGACGGCCUUUCGGGUUGUAAACCUCUUUUAGUAGGGAAGAAGCGAAAGUGACGGUACCUGCAGAAAAAGCACCGGCUAACUACGUGCCAGCAGCCGCGGUAAUACGUAGGGUGCAAGCGUUGUCCGGAAUUAUUGGGCGUAAAGAGCUCGUAGGCGGUUUGUCGCGUCUGCUGUGAAAUCCCGAGGCUCAACCUCGGGCUUGCAGUGGGUACGGGCAGACUAGAGUGCGGUAGGGGAGAUUGGAAUUCCUGGUGUAGCGGUGGAAUGCGCAGAUAUCAGGAGGAACACCGAUGGCGAAGGCAGAUCUCUGGGCCGUAACUGACGCUGAGGAGCGAAAGCAUGGGGAGCGAACAGGAUUAGAUACCCUGGUAGUCCAUGCCGUAAACGUUGGGCGCUAGAUGUAGGGACCUUUCCACGGUUUCUGUGUCGUAGCUAACGCAUUAAGCGCCCCGCCUGGGGAGUACGGCCGCAAGGCUAAAACUCAAAGGAAUUGACGGGGGCCCGCACAAGCGGCGGAGCAUGCGGAUUAAUUCGAUGCAACGCGAAGAACCUUACCAAGGCUUGACAUACACCGGAAACGGCCAGAGAUGGUCGCCCCCUUGUGGUCGGUGUACAGGUGGUGCAUGGUUGUCGUCAGCUCGUGUCGUGAGAUGUUGGGUUAAGUCCCGCAACGAGCGCAAACCCUCGUUCUAUGUUGCCAGCCACGUUAUGGCCGGGGACUCAUAGGAAGACUGUCCGGGGUCAACUUCGGAAGGAAGGGUGGGGGAGGACGUCAAAUCAUCAUGCCCCUUAUGUCUUGGGCUUCACGCAUGCUACAAUGGCCGGUACAAAGGGCUGCGAUACCGUAAGGUGGAGCGAAUCCCAAAAAGCCGGUCUCAGUUCGGAUUGAGGUCUGCAACUCGACCUCAUGAAGUCGGAGUCGCUAGUAAUCGCAGAUCAGCAACGCUGCGGUGAAUACGUUCCCGGGCCUUGUACACACCGCCCGUCAAGUCAUGAAAGUCGGUAACACCCGAAGCCGG
rnacentral:rRNA from 1 species